rnacentral:rRNA from 1 species
AGGUUUCGUAGGUGAACCUGCGGAAGGAUCAUUA